AAUCAACGCUGGCGGCGUGCCUAACACAUGCAAGUCGAACGCGAAAAGGGCUUCGGCCCCUAGUAGAGUGGCGUACGGGUGAGUAACGCGUGGGUCAUCUGCCCUCGGGUGGGGAAUAACUAAUCGAAAGGUUAGCUAAUACCGCAUAACACAGUGAUGUCAAAGCAGCAAUGUGCCUGAGGAGGAGCCUGCGUCUGAUUAGGUAGUUGGUGGGGUAACGGCCUACCAAGCCUGCGAUCAGUAGCUGGUCUGGGAGGACGGCCAGCCACGAUGGCACUGAAAUACGGGCCAUACUCCUACGGGAGGCAGCAGUGGGGAAUUUUGCGCAAUGGGCGAAAGCCUGACGCAGCAACGCCGCGUGAGGGAUGAAAUAUUUCGGUAUGUAAACCUCGCAAAUAUGGGAAGAACAAAAUGACGGUACCAUAUGUAAGCCACGGCUAACUUCGUGCCAGCCGCCGCGGUAACAC
rnacentral:rRNA from 1 species